AGGUGAGUGUGUGAAGGACGGCACGUUGGCAAAACGGAAUGAACUACUAUGAACCAUCUCCUCAUCUGAGCCAAAUGGACUAAUCUAUCUAAGUGUGAAUUCUCGAAUAUGCUUUAUAACAAUGUUCUCCUUACUUUUUUUUAGUUUUGCCUUUUAAAUCAAAUGUCUAUCUUUUCGUCAUAUGGGUGUAAACAUUUAAAAACAAAACAAAAAAAAACAAAAAAAAAGACAAAAAUACAAAAAAAAUCUAGAAAAUGAAAUAUAAAAAAAAAUAGAAAAAGAAAAAAGCCAAAAAAAAAUUAAUAAUUAUAAAACA